UAAUACAGAGACCUCAAGCGUUAUCCGGAAUCAUUGGGCGUAAAGCGUACCGAUAGGUGGUUUAUAUAGUCUUGGGUAAAAGCCGGAAGCUCAACUUCCGCGUUUGCUUAAGAUACUUAUAGACUAGAGGGGCAAAGAGGUCAUUGGAACCAACGGUGUAGUAGUGAAAUGCGUUGAUAUCGUUGGGAACACCGAAAGCGAAGGCAGAUGACUGGGUGCCACCUGACACUGCUAGGACGAAAGCGUGGGGAGCGAAUGGGAUUAGAUACCCCAGUAGUCCACGCUGUAAACGAUGAAUGCUAGGCAUACGCGAGUAUCGACCCUCGUAUGUGCCGCAGCUAACGCGAUAAGCAUUCCGCCUGGGGAGUACGGUCGCAAGACUA
rnacentral:rRNA from 1 species